rnacentral:rRNA from 1 species
UACGUAGGGAGCAAGCGUUGUCCGGAAUCAUUGGGCGUAAAGCGCGUGUAGGCGGCUCGGUAAGUCCGCUCUGAAAGCCCGGGGCUCAACCCCGGGAGGCGGGUGGAUACUGCUGAGCUCGAGUCCGGAAGAGGAGUGUGGAAUUCCUGGUGUAGCGGUGAAAUGCGCAGAUAUCAGGAGGAACACCAAUGGCGAAGGCAGCACUCUGGGACGGUACUGACGCUGAGACGCGAAAGCGUGGGGAGCAAACAGG